UAGGGAUUAUUGGUAAUGUGCGAAAGCGCGAACCAGCAACGCCGCGUGCACGAUGAAGGCCUUCGGGUCGUAAAGUGCUUUUAGAGAGGAUGAGGAAGGACAGUACUUUCUGAAUAAGCCUCGGCUAACUACGUGCCAGCAGCCGCGGUAAAACGUAGGAGGCAACCGUUAUCCGGAUUUACUGUGCGUAAAGCGCAUGCAGGUGGUUUUGUAAGUUGGAUGUGAAAGCUCCUGGCUUAACUGGGAGAGGUCGUUCAAAACUACAAGACUUGAGAUUGGUAGAGGAAGGUGGAAUUCCGGGUGUAGUGGUGAAAUGCGUAGAUAUCCGGAGGAACACCAGUAGCGAAAGCGGCCUUCUGGACAAAUUCUGACACUCAGAUGCGAAAGCUAAGGUAGCAAACG
rnacentral:rRNA from 1 species